rnacentral:rRNA from 1 species
UCCUACGGGAGGCAGCAGUGGGGAAUAUUGGACAAUGGACCACAAGUCUGAUCCAGCAAUUCUGUGUGCACGAUGACGUUUUUCGGAAUGUAAAGUGCUUUCAGUCGGGAAGAAGUCAGUGACGGUACCGACAGAAGAAGCGACGGCUAAAUACGUGCCAGCAGCCGCGGUAAUACGUAUGUCGCAAGCGUUAUCCGGAUUUAUUGGGCGUAAAGCGCGUCUAGGCGGCAAGGAAAGUCUGAUGUGAAAAUGCGGAGCUCAACUCCGUAUGGCGUUGGAAACUGCCUUACUAGAGUACUGGAGAGGUAGGCGGAACUACAAAUGUAGAGGUGAAAUUCGUAGAUAUUUGUAGGAAUGCCGAUGGGGAAGCCAGCCUACUGGACAGAUACUGACGCUAAAGCGCGAAAGCGUGGGUAGCAAACAGGAUUAGAUACCCUGGUAGUCC